rnacentral:rRNA from 1 species
AUUGAACGCUGGCGGCAUGCCUUACACAUGCAAGUCGAACGGCAGCACGGGUGCUUGCACCUGGUGGCGAGUGGCGAACGGGUGAGUAAUACAUCGGAACAUGUCCUGUAGUGGGGGAUAGCCCGGCGAAAGCCGGAUUAAUACCGCAUACGAUCUACGGAUGAAAGCGGGGGAUCUUCGGGCCUCGCGCUAUAGGGUUGGCCGAUGGCUGAUUAGCUAGUUGGUGGGGUAAAGGCCUACCAAGGCGACGAUCAGUAGCUGGUCUGAGAGGACGACCAGCCACACUGGGACUGAGACACGGCCCAGACUCCUACGGGAGGCAGCAGUGGGGAAUUUUGGACAAUGGGCGAAAGCCUGAUCCAGCAAUGCCGCGUGUGUGAAGAAGGCCUUCGGGUUGUAAAGCACUUUUGUCCGGAAAGAAAUCCUUGGCCCUAAUACGGUCGGGGGAUGACGGUACCGGAAGAAUAAGCACCGGCUAACUACGUG